rnacentral:rRNA from 1 species
UGGGGAAUAUUGCACAAUGGGGGAAACCCUGAUGCAGCCAUGCCGCGUGUGUGAAGAAGGCCUUCGGGUUGUAAAGCACUUUCAGUCAGGAGGAAAGGUGGCUAGCUAAUACCUAGUUGCUGUGACGUUACUGACAGAAGAAGCACCGGCUAACUCCGUGCCAGCAGCCGCGGUAAUACGGAGGGUGCAAGCGUUAAUCGGAAUUACUGGGCGUAAAGCGCACGCAGGCGGCUUGUUAAGUCAGAUGUGAAAGCCCCGGGCUCAACCUGGGAACUGCAUUUGAAACUGACAAGCUAGAGUCUUGUAGAGGGGGGUAGAAUUCCAGGUGUAGCGGUGAAAUGCGUAGAGAUCUGGAGGAAUACCGGUGGCGAAGGCGGCCCCCUGGACAGAGACUGACGCUCAGGUGCGAAAGCGUGGGGAGCAAACAGG